rnacentral:lncRNA from 1 species
AGGUGCUCCUGUCUUUCUCUCAGUCCGUGGCUGACCUGCCUGUGGAUGAAUGUGAAGGGCCCAAGCCAGCAUCGCAGCGUGCCUGUUACGCGGGACCAUGCAACGGGGAAAUUCCGGAGUUUAACCCAGAUAAUGCAGACCAACUCUUGGGUGACUUGCAGGACCUGGAUGAGCUGUAUGACUGGGAAUAUGAGGGCUUCACCAAAUGCUCUGAGUCAUGUGGAGGAGGUGUCCAGGAGGCUGUGGUAAGCUGCCUGAACAAACAGACCCGGGAGCUUGCUGAUGAGAACCUGUGCGUGACCAGCCGACGGCCCCCCCAGCUCCUGAAAUCCUGCAAUUUGGAUCCCUGCCCAGCAAGGUAA